GUAGUAUCGCGACUUAUUUCCCCGAGGAGGUAUUUCUCGCACACACCUGGAAGCCACUGUCAUCCGUGAAGGGAGUCGGCUCUUAUAUUUUUGUGUUUUUUGAAGCGAAUUAUCCUGUUGCCGAGGGAGCCAUGCAUCUGGAAACGGCUGGGGAAGGAGACGGUGGCUGAGUGGUUAGCGUGCCGGUCCUGCGUUCGCUACGUCAUGGAUGAUGAGGGUUUGAAUCUGUCGCUGCCACAGACUACUUGUCCUGAAGACCACCACCAUCAUCCUGGACUGUAUGGGACUGUCCAAGGGAAAGCAAGAUGGGGCCGCUAUAAACACUUGCCGGCUUGGGCCCACCACCAGGCCCAGCCGAGGGAGCUUCACGUUGGUGGUCGGGUGUAGUUCCGGUGCCCCGAGAAUAGGGGAACCACCUGCUAAACCCUGGGGUGAAGCCUGCACCUCAAGCAUGGCCAGCGGUUGCGGGAGUCUCCGAAACAACCGUUGGUGUAGCAGUGCCGGGAGGUGCCAUAACACAGGGCACUCCUCACCUCAACAACAGUCUCUUCACCGACAAGUAAUUCUUCACCAACAAGCUUUUCAGCAGCUUGGAGAAAUAGAGGAAGAAGAGGAGGAAGAAGAAGAGAAGAUGAAGAGGAAGAAGAGGAGGAGGAGGAUAAGGACUUGGUUGGUGUAGCAGUGCUGGGAGGUGCCAUAACACAGGGCACUCCUCACCUCAACAACAGUCUCUUCACCGACAAGUAAUUCUUCACCAACAAGCUUUUCAGCAGCUUGGAGAAAUAGAGACAAGAGGAGGAGGAAGAGGAGGAGGAGGAAGAAGAGGAGGAGGAGGACUUUGAAGACUGACAGACAGACAUCAUUUCAGUGAUGAAAGAGGAAGAGGAAGAGGAGGAAGAGGAGG